CCUACGGGAGGCUGCAGUGAGGAAUAUUGGUCAAUGGCCGGGAGGCUGAACCAGCCAAGUCGCGUGAGGGAAGACGGCCCUACGGGUUGUAAACCUCUUUUGUCAGGGAGCAAGGUGCAGGUCGGGACCUGCUGUGCGAGUACCCGAAGAAAAAGCAUCGGCUAACUCCGUGCCAGCAGCCGCGGUAAUACGGAGGAUGCGAGCGUUAUCCGGAUUUAUUGGGGUUAAAGGGUGCGUAGGCGGAAUAUCAAGUCAGCGGUAAAAGUUCGGGGCUCAACCCCGUAGUGCCGUUGAAACUGGUGUUCUUGAGUGGGCGAGAAGUAUGCGGAAUGCGUGGUGUAGCGGUGAAAUGCAUAGAUAUCACGCAGAACUCCGAUUGCGAAGGCAGCAUACCGGCGCCCAACUGACGCUGAAGCACGAAAGCGUGGGUAUCGAACAGGAUUAGAUACCCUAGUAGUC
rnacentral:rRNA from 1 species